UACGGAGGGUGCGAGCGUUGUCCGGAAUUACUGGGCGUAAAGGGCGCGUAGGCGGCGUGUCAAGUCAGGCGUGAAAGCCCCGGGCUCAACCUGGGAACCGCGCUUGAGACUGGCAUGCUCGAGUUCGGGAGAGGAUGGUGGAAUUCCCAGUGUAGAGGUGAAAUUCGUAGAUAUUGGGAAGAACACCGAUGGCGAAGGCAGCCAUCUGGACCGACACUGACGCUGAGGCGCGAAAGCGUGGGGAGCAAACAGG
rnacentral:rRNA from 1 species